UACGUAGGGUGCGAGCGUUGUCCGGAAUUAUUGGGCGUAAAGGGCUCGUAGGCGGUUUGUCGCGUCGGGAGUGAAAACCUCGGGCUUAACUCGGGGCUUGCUUUCGAUACGGGCAGACUAGAGGUAUGCAGGGGAGAACGGAAUUCCUGGUGUAGCGGUGAAAUGCGCAGAUAUCAGGAGGAACACCAGUGGCGAAGGCGGGUCUCUGGGCCGAUAACUGACGCUGAGAAGCGAAAGCUGGGGAGCGAACAGG
rnacentral:rRNA from 1 species